UACAGAGGGUGCAAGCGUUAUUCGAAAUUAUUGGGCGUAAAGCGCGCGUAGGUGGUGAGGUAAGUCCUGUGUGAAAUCCCCGAGCUCAACUCGGGAGGGUCAUGGGAAACUACCUCGCUAGAGUACAAGAGGGGAGAGCGGAAUUCCCAGUGUAGUGGUGAAAUACGUAGAUAUUGGGAGGAACACCGGCGGCGAAAGCGGCUCUCUGGCUUGUCACUGACGCUCUGGCGCGAAAGCGUGGGGAGCAAACAGG
rnacentral:rRNA from 1 species